rnacentral:rRNA from 1 species
CAUAGGUUAAUGAGGCGAACCGGGGGAACUGAAACAUCUAAGUACCCCGAGGAAAAGAAAUCAACCGAGAUUCCCCCAGUAGCGGCGAGCGAACGGGGAGGAGCCCAGAGCCUGAAUCAGUGUGUGUGUUAGUGGAAGCGUCUGGAAAGGCGCGCGAUACAGGGUGACAGCCCCGUACACAAAAAUGCACAUACUGUGAGCUCGAUGAGUAGGGCGGGACACGUGGUAUCCUGUCUGAAUAUGGGGGGACCAUCCUCCAAGGCUAAAUACUCCUGACUGACCGAUAGUGAACCAGUACCGUGAGGGAAAGGCGAAAAGAACCCCGGCGAGGGGAGUGAAAAAGAACCUGAAACCGUGUACGUACAAGCAGUGGGAGCCUCUUAAUGGGGUGACUGCGUACCUUUUGUAUAAUGGGUCAGCGACUUAUAUUCUGUAGCAAGGUUAACCGAAUAGGGGAGCCGAAGGGAAACCGAGUCUUAACUGGGCGUUAAGUUGCAGGGUAUAGACCCGAAACCCGGUGAUCUAGCCAUGGGCAGGUUGAAGGUUGGGUAACACUAACUGGAGGACCGAACCGACUAAUGUUGAAAAAUUAGCGGAUGACUUGUGGCUGGGGGUGAAAGGCCAAUCAAACCGGGAGAUAGCUGGUUCUCCCCGAAAGCUAUUUAGGUAGCGCCUCGUGAAUUCAUCUCCGGGGGUAGAGCACUGUUUCGGCAAGGGGGUCAUCCCGACUUACCAACCCGAUGCAAACUGCGAAUACCGGAGAAUGUUAUCACGGGAGACACACGGCGGGUGCUAACGUCCGUCGUGAAGAGGGAAACAACCCAGACCGCCAGCUAAGGUCCCAAAGUCAUGGUUAAGUGGGAAACGAUGUGGGAAGGCCCAGACAGCCAGGAUGUUGGCUUAGAAGCAGCCAUCAUUUAAAGAAAGCGUAAUAGCUCACUGGUCGAGUCGGCCUGCGCGGAAGAUGUAACGGGGCUAAACCAUGCACCGAAGCUGCGGCAGCGACGCUUAUGCGUUGUUGGGUAGGGGAGCGUUCUGUAAGCCUGUGAAGGUGGCCUGUGAGGGUUGCUGGAGGUAUCAGAAGUGCGAAUGCUGACAUAAGUAACGAUAAAGCGGGUGAAAAGCCCGCUCGCCGGAAGACCAAGGGUUCCUGUCCAACGUUAAUCGGGGCAGGGUGAGUCGACCCCUAAGGCGAGGCCGAAAGGCGUAGUCGAUGGGAAACAGGUUAAUAUUCCUGUACUUGGUGUUACUGCGAAGGGGGGACGGAGAAGGCUAUGUUGGCCGGGCGACGGUUGUCCCGGUUUAAGCGUGUAGGCUGGUUUUCCAGGCAAAUCCGGAAAAUCAAGGCUGAGGCGUGAUGACGAGGCACUACGGUGCUGAAGCGACAAAUGCCCUGCUUCCAGGAAAAGCCUCUAAGCAUCAGGUAACAUUAAAUCGUACCCCAAACCGACACAGGUGGUCAGGUAGAGAAUACCAAGGCGCUUGAGAGAACUCGGGUGAAGGAACUAGGCAAAAUGGUGCCGUAACUUCGGGAGAAGGCACGCUGAUAUGUAGGUGAAGCGACUUGCUCGUGGAGCUGAAAUCAGUCGAAGAUACCAGCUGGCUGCAACUGUUUAUUAAAAACACAGCACUGUGCAAACACGAAAGUGGACGUAUACGGUGUGACGCCUGCCCGGUGCCGGAAGGUUAAUUGAUGGGGUUAGCGGUAACGCGAAGCUCUUGAUCGAAGCCCCGGUAAACGGCGGCCGUAACUAUAACGGUCCUAAGGUAGCGAAAUUCCUUGUCGGGUAAGUUCCGACCUGCACGAAUGGCGUAAUGAUGGCCAGGCUGUCUCCACCCGAGACUCAGUGAAAUUGAACUCGCUGUGAAGAUGCAGUGUACCCGCGGCAAGACGGAAAGACCCCGUGAACCUUUACUAUAGCUUGACACUGAACAUUGAGCCUUGAUGUGUAGGAUAGGUGGGAGGCUUUGAAGUGUGGACGCCAGUCUGCAUGGAGCCGACCUUGAAAUACCACCCUUUAAUGUUUGAUGUUCUAACGUGGGCCCCUUACCGGGGUUGCGGACAGUGUCUGGUGGGUAGUUUGACUGGGGCGGUCUCCUCCUAAAGAGUAACGGAGGAGCACGAAGGUUGGCUAAUCCUGGUCGGACAUCAGGAGGUUA